GAAGGGCACCACCAGGAGUGGAGCCUGCGGCUUAAUUCGACUCAACACGGGAAAACUCACCCGGCCCGGACACUGUGAGGAUUGACAGAUUGAUAGCUCUUUCUUGAUUCGGUGGUUGGUGGUGCAUGGCCGUUCUUAGUUGGUGGAGCGAUUUGUCUGGUUAAUUCUGAUAACGAACGAGACUUUGGCCUGCUAAAUAGUAUACCUGUCCUCUGUGCUCGUGCAGGUGGCAGUUUUCACUGCCCGUUCUACGGGUGGCUGAAGCUGUUUGCCGGCGGGUACUGCGCAGGUGUUUACUUCUUAGAGGGACAAGCGACGCUAGUCGCACGAAAAUGAGCAAUAACAGGUCUGUGAUGCCCUUAGAUGUCCGGGGCCGCACGUGCGCUACAAUGACGGUUUCAGCGAGUUUUGAAACCUGGCCCGAAAGGGUUGGGCAAACUGAGUCAUAACCGUCGUGACUGGGAUCGGGGCUUGCAAUUAUUCCCCGUGAACGAGGAAUUCCUGGUAAGUGCAAGUCAUAAGCUUGCGCUGAUUACGUCCCUGCCCUUUGUACACACCGCCCGUCGCUACUACCGAUUGAAUGGUUUAGCAAGGUCGUCGGAUCGGUGCCAUUGUAGUUGUUUCGGCAACUCGAACGGCGCUGAGAAGACGACCAAACUUGAUCAUUUAGAGGAAGUAAAAGUCGUAACAAGGUUUCCGUAGGUGAACCUGCGGAAGGAUCAUUA
rnacentral:ncRNA from 1 species